CAUGUAGGCGGGAGAGUAAGUCAAAGGUGAAAGCUAUCGGCUUAACCGGUAGUCUGCCUUUGAAACUAUUUUUCUAGAGAACAGUAGAGGGAAGUGGAACUCUCGGUGUAGCGGUGAAAUGCGUAGAUAUCGAGAGGAACACCAGUGGCGAAGGCGGCUUCCUGGACUGAUUCUGACGCUGAGAUGCGAAAGCGUGGGGAGCAAACAGGAUUAGAUACCCUGGUAGUCC
rnacentral:rRNA from 1 species